rnacentral:tmRNA from 1 species
GGGGCUGACAUGGAUUUGACAGCAGGAGAGGUGCCUGUGUAAGCACGCAGUGAGCCGGUAACCACUCACUCUAAUCAAGGUUUCCAACGAAAUUUAUCUGGCGAAAACAAUUACGCUCUCGCUGCCUAACCGAAGCAUAGUAGGUUCUUGGCUUUAUUUCGGCACCAGGUGCUGAAACGAGAUGUCACUCUGGAGCUCUGGCUCCGAAGCGUCCAGGCAAAGUGGCACAGCAACGUCGGAGAUAGCCCGUCGCAGCCUCGCGCGAGCGGGUGAAAACUUAGAGGAUAAGGCGAAGGUUGGUGGCCCAGGUCUUGCCUCCGCUCGAAAAUGCAGGCUGGGAUAAGCGUGUAGAAAGCAUUGGUCGUCCCUGUUUGGACGAGGGUUCAAUCCCCUCCAGCUCCACU